UACGGGGGGGGUAAGCGUUGUUCGGAAUUACUGGGCGUAAAGGGCUUGUAGGCGGCUAAUUAAGUCAGAUGUGAAAUUUUUCGGCUUAACUGGGGAAUUGCGUCUGAUAUUGGAUGGCUAGAGGUUGGGAGAGGGAUGCGGAAUUCCAGGUGUAGCGGUGAAAUGCGUAGAUAUCUGGAGGAACAUUGGUGGCGAAGGCGGCAUCCUGGACCAAUUCUGACGCUGAGGAGCGAAAGCUAGGGGAGCAAACGGG
rnacentral:rRNA from 1 species